rnacentral:rRNA from 1 species
AACCAGCACCUCAAGUGGUCAGGAUGAUUAUUGGGCCUAAAGCAUCCGUAGCCGGCUCUGUAAGUUUUCGGUUAAAUCUGUACGCUUAACGUACAGGCUGCCGGGAAUACUGCAGAGCUAGGUAGUGGGAGAGGUAGACGGUACUCGGUAGGAAGGGGUAAAAUCCUUUGAUCUAUUGAUGACCACCUGUGGCGAAGGCGGUCUACCAGAACACGUACGACGGUGAGGGAUGAAAGCUGGGGGAGCAAACCGGAUUAGAUACCCGGGUAGUCCCAGCUGUAAACUAUGCAAACUCAGUGAUGCAUUGGCUUGUGGCCAAUGCAGUGCUGCAGGGAAGCCGUUAAGUUUGCCGCCUGGGAAGUACGUACGCAAGUAUGAAACUUAAAGGAAUUGGCGGGGGAGCACCACAAGGGGUGAAGCCUGCGGUUCAAUUGGAGUCAACGCCAGAAAUCUUACCCGGAGAGACAGCAGAAUGAAGGUCAAGCUGAAGACUUUACCAGACAAGCUGAGAGGUGGUGCAUGGCCGUCGCCAGCUCGUGCCGUGAGAUGUCCUGUUAAGUCAGGUAACGAGCGAGAUCCCUGCCUCUAGUUGCCUCCAUUACUCUCAGGAGUAGUGGGGCGAAUUAGCGGGACCGCCGCAGUUAAUGCGGAGGAAGGAAGGGGCCACGGCAGGUCAGUAUGCCCCGAAACUCUGGGGCCACACGCGGGCUGCAAUGGUAACGACAAUGGGUUUCGAAUUCGAAAGGAUGAGGUAAUCCUCAAACGUUACCACAGUUAUGACUGAGGGCUGCAACUCGCCCUCACGAAUAUGGAAUCCCCAGUAACUGCGUGUCACUAUCGCGCGGUGAAUACGUCCCUGCUCCU